AUUGAACGCUGGCGGCAGGCCUAACACAUGCAAGUCGAACGAGUGGCGGACGGGUGAGUAAUGUCUGGGAAACUGCCUUAUGGAUGGGGAUUACUACUGGAACCGGUAGCUAUUACCGCAUACCAUCGGAUGUUCCCUGAUGUGAUUAGCUAGUAGGUGGGGUAAAGGCUCACCUAGGCGACGAUCCCUAGCUGGUCUGCGAGGAUGACCAGCCACACGGGAACUGAGACACGGUCCAGACUCCUACGGGAGGCAGCAGUGGGGAAUAUUGCGCAAGGGGCGCAAGCCUGAUGCAGCAAUGCCGCGUGUAUGAAGAAGGCCUUCGGGUUGUAAAGUACUGUCAGCGGGGAGGCGUUACCCGAAGAGGAAGCACCGGCUAACUACGUGCCAGCAGCCGCGGUAAUAC
rnacentral:rRNA from 1 species